AGUCGCAGAUGGUUUGGCGCUGGACAAACUGCAGUGCUAUCUGUGUCUCAGCUGUGGAAAAACUUGUUCAGUGGCCAAAGAAACAGAGAAUUGACGUUGCAGCAAAACUGGGAGCAGACUGACCAGACUUGGGCAACCUCUCCUGCACGGAUGAACUUUCACCAAUAUCCACACCUCCCAGUUCAUCCAGCUCCUGAGCUUCAUACCUGUUAUGUAAGGGCACCUGGGAAGGUGGGCAGGCUGAGGGGCAGUCUGCUUGUUGCCCCAGAGACUUGUUUACAUCCCUCACCAUCUUUGAGGUCGUCCCUUCCAACCUGACUGUAAGACAGCAGAUGAUCCUCCACUGUUUCAAGAGCAUCUCCCCUUCACCCUUCCUGUAGGAAUGGCAGAGUGCAACUCCACCAACCCAUCCCCUUUCCACAAUCCUGGAUGAUCCUCAGUCUUUCUACUUCCUCCUUUAGCUCUACCAUCAGGCUAAGCAGAUCAUACACCUGCUCACACCGCACACAGGUGGUAUCCCGGCUGCCCUCCUGUAGCAGUGACAGGGCCAAGCAUUCUCUGCAGCCGGAGACGUGAACUGCAGCAUGGACAUUCAUGCUUUCUGUCUGAGUUUCCACGUUGCUUUUAGCAGCAGCUCGCUGUUGUGUGGUGACCAUGGUUGCACCUCGGUGUGUCCAGAGAGCAACGACCUGUUAAGUGACCUGUUAAGUGCUAAGUGCUAACCCCCCUCCUAUAUGGCAAGGUGCCCCACCCUACCUGCUUGCUGAUUCAUUUGGGGUUUGCCCUGAAAAUCACUCUCUUCACAGCAAGAUAACAACCCUCCUCCCUGUGUAGUCAUGUGAAUAGGUGGCUUACCCUUUCAUCUCCUCUGAACUGCCGAGGUGAUUCACACACCCUGACUCCUCUCCAUCUCAUUGCUGCCCUCCCCAAGGCUUUUUCUAGGCAGGGGGUGUGGAUGCAGAGCCGUUGCCCUGGCAAUGCCCAUUUCGUGAGAGCUGAUGGGCUACUGUUAUCUCGGGGUUCCCUGGAUAAAGGAACCGACCAAAACCCCCCUGUACCUUGUGAUCAGUUGCUGCGGUUCUGGCUGGGAUAGCUCCGAAGCAGCGAACCUCAGCAAUCAAGGUUCACCUGUGUGACCCCAUUUAAGGGCUGACUACCACUGGGGAAGGAUAUCUCUCAGGAGAUCCCUCCUUUUGGAGUUUUCUACUGUGAGCCUUGGUCCUCAGAUAAGGGUGAGCAUUUCUUCCUUGAUAGUUUCCUUUUUGCCACGAUAAUCUUUCCAACUAUAACACCUGAAAAGUACCAUCCUAACCAUGCUACUCUUCCAAAUGUGCACAAUGGAAUGUUAAAAACUACACUGAGAGCAAUGAAUGCUGGAUCAUUCAAACAUUGAUCUACACAUCUAUCAAAAGCCAUCGGGUUAGUCAACACUCAGGGAUCUGCCAAUCAAGUUGGCCUUGCCCUGUCAUACUUCUUAGGUACUGUAGAAGGAAAUAAAGUCCCUGUAGUACACAUGAAAAAUAUGCUGGGUAGGACAGUUUGGGUUGUUCCUGCCUCUGGCAAAGGCUAGUCCAUCCGUGGGAUCACUUUUGCUCAAGAACCUGGAAACACUUGCUAGAUAAUGCAGAAGGUUGAGGAAAUCCUUCUGGUUUGUCCCCUCAAGGGGAUUUGAUGUAAGGUGAGAACAGCCAGUUAUUUGGAUAGUGUCAUGUCAGUUGCUAUAUAAUACUGAAUAUUUGAUAUCAUCACUACUGUGAUUGCUAUAUGCCUUAUGAAUGGCAUUAUAGUGAUAAUAACCUAGAGUAAAGGUCCAUAAUUGGAUUCAGCAUGUGACAAUCCAACACCAUGCAUCAUCCUACCUGACCUGAAGGACUGUUGUGACAAAUGGAGCUCACAGUUACCAAGUAAAUGAACUCCAAGGACAAUUUAGAGAGAUGACCAGCAGGCUAUAGGAAUUAUAUCUGUUUGUAAGCGUAGAUAUCAGAAAGUAGAAAAGGUGAUGGUAAUUAAUGGGAAUGUAUGGGAAAGUAUGGAAAAUGAGCAUGAUGUAAAUUAUAUGAAAUAAGGGGUGGAUAUUGUCCUGAUUUCCUAGAAUCAUAGAAUUUUCAUAGAAUAGUUUAGGUUGGAAAGGACUGAAAUCAAGAGCUCAGGUGGGCCUGGGGUUUGAUCAUAUAGGGGUUAAGUAAGCUAGCUUUAGAAACCAGGGAAGGAGGAGGAUAUCUUGACAUCUCAUGGUCAGCUGUGCAAACAUAAAGAAAGGAACAACACAAAAUAAAUGACUGUGACCGGUUUGAAUGCACUGCAAAGAGGUCAGACCAAGGAAGAUGUCAAGCCUUCGUGUGGAAGACUUCUGACUUCAUCCCCAGGACCACCAGAGGGAGACCCCUAUUACAAACAGUGCAUGCGCUGGGGGAGGGGUAGUAUGUAAAUGAGUACCUGGAAGAACAAUGAAUAUGUAAAUGGAUUCUAAGAAUUUUGCUGAAUAUAUAUGGCUUUGGCUUAUAAAUUUGUAGUGCUUUUUCUGGCUUGUGUGCAGGUUUGGUGGAGUGAUCCCCCUUCCACCCGGUUGAUUGUGCAGUCAUCAAAUAAAUCAUACCUGCUUU
ensembl:lncRNA